GUGCUUGCUUUGGCAGGACAUAAACUAGAAUUGCAACAGUACAGAGAUUAGCAUGGCCCCUAUGCAAGGAUGACAUGCAAAUUCGUGAAGCAUUCUUUAUUUUU
ensembl:snRNA U6 U6 spliceosomal RNA